UAAGCCCUGUCCCAAAAGGUGCGGUCAUACAGGGUAAGAGUGGCCAAAGGCCACCGCCGCACUGCCCAAAAGGGUAGGGACAGGAAGGAGGA
rnacentral:ncRNA from 1 species